UACCCAUCAGUACGGAAUAACAUUUAGAAAUAGAUGCUAAUACCGUAUAUUCUCUUCGGAGGAAAGAUUUAUCGCUGAUGGAUGAGCCCGCGUCAGAUUAGGUAGUUGGUAGGGUAAUGGUCUACCAAGCCAACGAUCUGUAGCUGGUCUGAGAGGAUGAUCAGCCACACUGGGACUGAGAUACGGCCCAGACUCCUACGGGAGGCAGCAGUGGGGAAUAUUGGACAAUGGGCGAAAGCCUGAUCCAGCAAUACCGAGUGGGUGACGAAGGCCUUAGGGUUGUAAAGCCCUUUUCAGCAGGGAAGAUAAUGACGGUACCUGACCAAGAAAGCCCCGGCUAACUCCGUGCCAGCAGCCGCGGUAAGACGGAGGGGGCUAGCGUUGUUCGGAAUUACUGGGCGUAAAGAGUGCGUAGGCGGUUUAGUAAGUUGGAAGUGAAAGCCCGAGGCUUAACCUCGGAACUGCUUUCAAAACUACUAAUCUAGAGUGUAGUAGGGGAUGAUGGAAUUCCUAGUGUAGAGGUGAAAUUCUUAGAUAUUAGGAGGAACACCGGUGGCGAAGGCGGU
rnacentral:rRNA from 1 species